CCUACGGGAGGCAGCAGUGAGGAAUAUUGGUCAAUGGACGAGAGUCUGAACCAGCCAAGUAGCGUGAAGGAUGACUGCCCUAUGGGUUGUAAACUUCUUUUAUAAAGGAAUAAAACGAGGCACGUGUGCCUUUUUGCAUGUACUUUAUGAAUAAGGAUCGGCUAACUCCGUGCCAGCAGCCGCGGUAAUACGGAGGAUCCGAGCGUUAUCCGGAUUUAUUGGGUUUAAAGGGAGCGUAGAUGGUUUUUUAAGUCAGUUGUGAAAGGUUGUGGCUCAACCGUAAAAUUGCAUUUGAUACUGGCAGUCUUGAGUACAUUUGAGGUAGGCGGAAUGCGUGGUGUAGCGGUGAAAUGCAUAGAUAUCACGAAGAACCCCGAUUGCGAAGGCAGCUUACUAAGCUAUAACUGACAUUGAUGCACGAAAGUGUGGGUAUCAAACAGGAUUAGAUACCCCGGUAGUC
rnacentral:rRNA from 1 species